rnacentral:rRNA from 1 species
UGGGCUUGACAUGUCCGGAAUUCUGCAGAGAUGCGGAGUGCCCUUCGGGGAAUCGGAACAC